UGCGGGAGAGAGCGGUGGUUGCUCGUCAGGCUCAUAACCUGAAGGCCGUUGGUUCGAAUCCAACUCCCGCAACAA
rnacentral:tRNA from 1 species